UUUGGGGUAAAUUUAAAUAGGACUAUUNUAUAUUAACAAUGAUCUUUAUUAAAUUAGACGAAUAAGGUACUCUAGGGAUAACAGCGUUAUAAUUAUUUAAGCCCUUAUUAAAAUAAUUGUUUGCGACCUCGAUGUUGAAUUGCCGCUANNCANNUAGUGCAGAAGCUAUUUUCACANAGGUCU
rnacentral:rRNA from 1 species